GACGAACGCUGGCGGCGUGCUUAACACAUGCAAGUCGAACGGAAAGGCCCUGCUUUUGUGGGGUGCUCGAGUGGCGAACGGGUGAGUAACACGUGAGUAACCUGCCCUUGACUUUGGGAUAACUUCAGGAAACUGGGGCUAAUACCGGAUAGGAGCUCCUGCUGCAUGGUGGGGGUUGGAAAGUUUCGGCGGUUGGGGAUGGACUCGCGGCUUAUCAGCUUGUUGGUGGGGGAGUGGCUUACCAAGGCUUUGACGGGUAGCCGGCCUGAGAGGGUGACCGGCCACAUUGGGACUGGGAUACGGCCCAGACUCCUACGGGAGGCAGCAGUGGGGAAUAUUGCACAAUGGGCGGAAGCCUGAUGCAGCAACGCCGCGUGCGGGAUGACGGCCUUCGGGUUGUAAACCGCUUUCGCCUGUGACGAAGCGUGAGUGACGGUAAUGGGUAAAGAAGCACCGGCUAACUACGUG
rnacentral:rRNA from 1 species